rnacentral:rRNA from 1 species
UACAGAGGUCUCAAGCGUUGUUCGGAUUCAUUGGGCGUAAAGGGUGCGUAGGUGGCGCCGUAAGUCAGGUGUGAAAUCUCGGAGCUCAACUCCGAAACUGCACUUGAUACUGGAGAGCUUGAGUCCGGGAGAGGUGAGUGGAACUCCGAGUGUAGAGGUGAAAUUCGUAGAUAUUCGGAAGAACACCAGUGGCGAAGGCGGCUCACUGGCCCGGUACUGACGCUGAUGUGCGAAAGCGUGGGGAGCAAACAGG